rnacentral:tRNA from 1 species
GGGGUUGUGGCUCAGAGGUAGAGUGCUCGCCUGGCAUGUGUGAAGUACUGAGUUCUAUCCUUAGCACCACA